GUCUCACUUCAGCCAGAGCGCGGGGUUAGGGCUUCAUUGCCUUGUGUCCUCUGCUCCGGGAGACUUCGGUGAUUCUGCCACUCACUCCGUCGCUCUGUGACCUGCUGGCAUUGAAUGAUUUAUAGCUAAGACUCCAGGACACCCCUGAAGCCGAGAAAUGUGGAAAAGCGAGAUUGUCUUUGACCAUUUGCUAUGGACAUUGUCAGGGAUGGUGCAGCCUGAAUGAGAAUGUCUGCGGUAUUUCCCGAAAUAAGUAUCCCUCAAGGAUGAUACUGUGGACCUCACUCAGGAAGAAUGUGUCCUUCAGGGAAAGCUGCACAGAGACGUGAUGCUGGAGAAGCAGUCAUCUGGUUACUUUAGCAUGAAUGAGAGAUCCUUUCGCUUCACGUCUUUGCCAGCAUUUGGUGUUGUCAGUGUUCUAGAUUUUGGCCAUUAUAGUACAUGACUUCAGGCUCCUAUGUGCAGAAGUCCUCAACCCCCAGGCUGCAGACCAGUACCUGUCCAUGGCCUGUUAGGAAACUGGCCGCACAGCAGGAGGUGAAAUGAUUAUUGCAGUUU
rnacentral:lncRNA from 1 species